rnacentral:rRNA from 1 species
UACAGGAGGGUGCAAGCGUUAAUCGGAAUUACUGGGCGUAAAGCGUGCGUAGACGGUUAUUUAAGUCAGGUGUGAAAGCCCCGGGCUCAACCUGGGAAUUGCAUUUGAGACUGAAUAGCUAGGGUGCGGAAGAGGGAAGCGGAAUUUCCGGUGUAGCGGUGAAAUGCGUAGAUAUCGGAAGGAACACCAGUGGCGAAAGCGGCUUCCUGGUCCAGCACCGACGUCAGGCACGAAAGCGUGGGGAGCAAACAGG